rnacentral:rRNA from 1 species
GAUGAACGCUGGCGGCGUGCCUAAUACAUGCAAGUCGAGCGAAUGGAUUAAGAGCUUGCUCUUAUGAAGUUAGCGGCGGACGGGUGAGUAACACGUGGGUAACCUGCCCAUAAGACUGGGAUAACUCCGGGAAACCGGGGCUAAUACCGGAUAACAUUUUGAACCGCAUGGGUCGAAAUUGAAAGGCGGCUUCGGCUGUCACUUAUGGAUGGACCCGCGUCGAAUUAGCUAGUUGGUGAGGUAACGGCUCCCACAGGCAACGAUGCGGAGACGAACUGAGAGGGUGAUCGGCCACACUGGGACUGAGACACGGCCCAGACUCCUACGGGAGGCAGCAGUAGGGAAUCUUCCGCAAUGGACGAAAGUCUGACGGAGCAACGCCGCGUGAGUGAUGAAGGCUUUCGGGUCGUAAAACUCUGUUGUUAGGGAAGAACAAGUGCUAGUUGAAUAAGCUGGCACCUUGACGGUACCUAACCAGAAAGCCACGGCUAACUACGUGCCAGCCGCCGCGGUAA